AUCGAGGAAUAGUGCGGGUGGUAGUUCAGAAAGAUGAAGCCCCGCGCCUGGUCGAUGGUGUGGAACAACGGGUUCCAGUCGAACAUUCUGAGCACGAAAGAGGGCAUGGCAUUGGCCACGAACAUCUUUCCCGAAGCGAUCAUGUUGGCGCGCUG
rnacentral:ncRNA from 1 species